GAUAUUUUUGCUGGUAUGGGAAGUAGUGAGUUUGAGUAGACAUUUCCUUAUGUACCUUGCUGCAGAUAAAAAUCACGAUUGUGCUUAAAGUAUUUAUUGGUAAAUAAAAAAAUCAGAUUUCAAAAGUAUCUUGACAACCCAAAUCAACCUGCUUAACAGAAGUUGUAUAUGCAGUUCCUAGGACUAUCAACCUAAUCUCAUGUUGCUUUUAAUUCAUUAAAUUA
rnacentral:misc_RNA from 1 species